rnacentral:rRNA from 1 species
CAAGUCGAACGGCAGCAUGAUCUAGCUUGCUAGAUUGAUGGCGAGUGGCGAACGGGUGAGUAAUACAUCGGAACGUGCCCUGAUAGUGAGGGAUAUCAAGUCGAAAGAUUAGCUAAUACCGCAUACGACCUGAGGGUGAAAGUGGGGGACCGCAAGGCCUCAUGCUAUAGGAGCGGCCGAUGUCUGAUUAGCUAGUUGGUGGGGUAAAGGCCCACCAAGGCGACGAUCAGUAGCUGGUCUGAGAGGACGAUCAGCCACACUGGGACUGAGACACGGCCCAGACUCCUACGGGAGGCAGCAGUGGGGAAUUUUGGACAAUGGGCGAAAGCCUGAUCCAGCAAUGCCGCGUGUGUGAAGAAGGCCUUCGGGUUGUAAAGCACUUUUGUCCGGAAAGAAAUGGCUCUGGUUAAUACCUGGGGUCGAUGACGGUACCGGAAGAAUAAGGACCGGCUAACUACGUGCCAGCAGCCGCGGUAAUACGUAGGGUCCAAGCGUUAAUCGGAAUUACUGGGCGUAAAGCGUGCGCAGGCGGUUGUGCAAGACCGAUGUGAAAUCCCCGAGCUUAACUUGGGAAUUGCAUUGGUGACUGCACGGCUAGAGUGUGUCAGAGGGGGGUAGAAUUCCACGUGUAGCAGUGAAAUGCGUAGAGAUGUGGAGGAAUACCGAUGGCGAAGGCAGCCCCCUGGGAUAACACUGACGCUCAUGCACGAAAGCGUGGGGAGCAAACAGGAUUAGAUACCCUGGUAGUCCACGCCCUAAACGAUGUCAACUAGUUGUUGGGGAUUCAUUUCCUUAGUAACGUAGCUAACGCGUGAAGUUGACCGCCUGGGGAGUACGGUCGCAAGAUUAAAACUCAAAGGAAUUGACGGGGACCCGCACAAGCGGUGGAUGAUGUGGAUUAAUUCGAUGCAACGCGAAAAACCUUACCUACCCUUGACAUGCCACUAACGAAGCAGAGAUGCAUUAGGUGCUCGAAAGAGAAAGUGGACACAGGUGCUGCAUGGCUGUCGUCAGCUCGUGUCGUGAGAUGCUGGGUUAAGUCCCGCAACGAGCGCAACCCUUGUCUCUAGUUGCUACGAAAGGGCACUCUAGAGAGACUGCCGGUGACAAACCGGAGGAAGGUGGGGAUGACGUCAAGUCCUCAUGGCCCUUAUGGGUAGGGCUUCACACGUCAUACAAUGGUGCAUACAGAGGGUUGCCAAGCCGCGAGGUGGAGCUAAUCCCAGAAAAUGCAUCGUAGUCCGGAUCGUAGUCUGCAACUCGACUACGUGAAGCUGGAAUCGCUAGUAAUCGCG